rnacentral:tRNA from 1 species
CGGCAGGUCAGCGGCCAGCUCCGGCUAUCGGCGGCGACCCCCGACAACACCUGGACUCUUAAUCCGUUAGUUGUGGGUUCGAGUCCCACGGGGCCUA